UACGAAGGGGGCUAGCGUUACUCGGAUUGACUGGGCGUAAAGGGCGCGUAGGCGGUUCGUACAGUCAGACGUGAAAUUCCUGGGCUCAACCUGGGGGCUGCGUUUGAUACGUGCGGGCUUGAGUUCGGAAGAGGGUCGUGGAAUUCCCAGUGUAGCGGUGGAAUGCGCAGAUAUCAGGAAGAACACCAACGGCGAAGGCAGCUCGCUGGGACGGUACUGACGCUGAGAAGCGAAAGCAUGGGGAGCGAACAGG
rnacentral:rRNA from 1 species